GAUGCUGCUGCGUUUCAGUGGAGGGGAGAUUUUUGCUAGUGUGCCACUUUUGGUUUCUUUUGAAUGUGGAUGUGCCUUCCUCUAAAGAAUCCUAGACAGCACGGAGAGACAAGAGGUGAAUGAAAUAGGCCCUGAGCAGCUGAGGUGGUGGAGCAAAGUUCCUCUAGAUUACUCACCAGCGAACAAUUCAGGCCCUUGCACAGAGCCCACUCAGCUCCACACAACUCUCAUCAGUCAGCUUGUCUGACAUCUACACCCAUUACAAAGGAGGAGCAAGGAGGAGCCGCGUGGGUGAGGGCAGGCACACUGAUGCCCGGGAGAAGUGGUACCCAAUAUGCUGAUAACGAAGGAGGGACAGACAUGUCAGAAAAUGCCUCCAAAAGGAAUAAUAAUGCCAAUAAAAGCUCACAACUUGUGCAGGGUUACCAGACCCCUCUGUAAUAGCAACUGAAGGCAUCACUCUGUUUUAACAUAGUAGCAAUAAUUGGUAUUUCAAAUGAAUGCUCCAUCAAGAAAUGUUUAAAUACUCGGUAUACUAUGUUUUAAGAAAGUGAA
rnacentral:lncRNA from 1 species